rnacentral:rRNA from 1 species
CGACGUGGGGAACCUGCCCUAUACAGGGGGAGUAACAGCUGGAAACGGCUGCUAAUACCGCAUAAGCGCACAGAAUCGCAUGAUUCAGUGUGAAAAGCCCUGGCAGUAUAGGAUGGUCCCGCGUCUGAUUAGCUGGUUGGUGAGGUAACGGCUCACCAAGGCGACGAUCAGUAGCCGGCUUGAGAGAGUGAACGGCCACAUUGGGACUGAGACACGGCCCAA